CCUACGGGUGGCAGCAGUGAGGAAUAUUGGGCAAUGGAGGCAACUCUGACCCAGCCAUGCCGCGUGAGUGAAGAAGGUUUUCGGAUUGUAAAGCUCUUUCGGAUGGGACGAUGAUGAUGGUAGCAUCUAAAGAAGCUCCGGCUAACUUCGUGCCAGCAGCCGCGGUGAUACGACGGGUGCAAGCGUUGUUCGGAAUUACUGGGGGUAAAGGGAGUGUAGGCGGUUGAGUAAGAUAGUGGUGAAGUCCCAGAGCUUAACUUUGGAAUUGCCAUUAUAACUAUUAGACUAGAAUUAAAGAGAGGAUAGUGGAAUACCCAGUGUAGCGGUGAAAUGCGUAGAUAUUGGGUAGAACACCAGUGGCGAAGGCGACUAACUGGAUGUACACUGACGCUGAGGCUCGAAAGCAUGGGGAUCAAACAGGAUUAGAUACCCGGGUAGUC
rnacentral:rRNA from 1 species